AUUCUUACCUGGCAGGGGAGAUACCAUGAUCACGAAGGUGGUUUUCCCAGGGCGAGGCUUAUCCAUUGCACUCCGGACGUGCUGACCCCUGCGAUUUCCCCAAAUGUGGGAAACUCGACUGCAUAAUUUGAGGUAGUGGGGGACUGCGUUCGCGCUCUCCCCUG
rnacentral:snRNA from 1 species